AACGAACGCUGGCGGCAUGCCUAACACAUGCAAGUCGAACGAGACCUCCGGGUCUUGUUUCGCUCGUGUGCUUACCGCGUGGUAACCUGCCCUUAGGUUCUGAAUAACUUCCCUCAAGGUGUGCUAAUACCGGUUAAUGUCUUCGGACCAAAGAUUUAUCGCCUUUUGGUGGGCCGGCGUUGGAUUAGCUAGUUGGUAGGGUAAAAGCCUACCAAGGCGACGAUCCAUAGCUGGUCUUAGAGGAUGAUCAGCCACACUGGGACUGAGACACGGCCCAGACUCCUGCGGGAGGCAGCAGUGGGGAAUAAUGGACAAUGGGCGAAAGCAUGAUCCAGCAAUGCGGCGUGAGUGAUGAAGGCUUGAGGGUUGUAAAGCUAUUUUACCAGGGAUGAUAAUGACAGUACCGGGAGAAUAAGCUCCGGCUAACUCCGUG
rnacentral:rRNA from 1 species